CAGUCGCCGCGGGAAAACGUAGGGCGCAAGCGUUAUCCGGAAUUAUUGGGCGUAAAGAGCUCGUAGGCGGUUUGUCGCGUCUGCCGUGAAAGUCCGGGGCUCCACCCCGGAUCUGCGGUGGGUACGGGCAGACUAGAGUGAUGUAGGGGAGACUGGAAUUCCUGGUGUAGCGGUGAAAUGCGCAGAUAUCAGGAGGAAUACCGAUGGCGAAGGCAGGUCUCUGGGCAUUAACUGACGCUGAGGAGCGAAAGCAUGGGGAGCAAACAGGAUUAGAUACCCCAGUAGUCCCUGUCUCUUAUAC
rnacentral:rRNA from 1 species